rnacentral:rRNA from 1 species
AGAGUUUGAUCCUGGCUCAGGAUGAACGCUAGCGGCGUGGAUAAGGCAUGCAAGUCAAACGGUCGAGCACAUAACUUGUUAUGUGCUCGGUAGUGGCAAACGGGUUAGUAACACGUAGAUACACACCCUCUACACAGGCAUAAUCUCGCGAAAGCGGGACUAAUUCCUGAUAGUCCAAGCGCUUAAUUCGUUGAGUGCUCGGUAAAUGGUUUCGAGCAAUCGAUUCCGGUAGAGGAAUGAUCUGCGGCCUAUCAGCUUGUUGGUGAGGUAAUGGCUCACCAAGGCUAUGACGGGUAGGGGAUAUGAGAGUGUGUUCCCCAACAAGGGCACUGCGACACGGGCCCUACUCCUACGGGAGGCAGCAGUCGAGAAUAUUCGACAAUGGGCGAAAGCCUGAUCGAGCGACGCCGCGUGCUCGAAGAAGCCCUUCGGGGUGUAAAGAGCUUUUCUGGAGGAAGAACCUUCGGGUGACGGUACUCCAGGAAUAAGGAGAUGCUAAUCACGUGCCAGCAGCAGCGGUAAUACGUGAUCUUCAAGCGUUAUCCGGAUUUAUUGGGCGUAAAGCGUCCGUAGGCGCACCGCCAGGUUUUCUGUUAAACCCUAGGGCUCAACCUUAGAACUGCAGAAAAAACCGGCGGAGUAGAGGGCAUUAGAGGCUGAUGGAACGGUCGGUGUAGGGGUGAAAUCCGUUGAUAUCGACCGGAACACCAAAUGCGAAGGCAUUCAGCUGGGGUGACCCUGACGCUGAGGGACGAAAGCGUGGGUAGCGA